AUUGAACGCUGGCGGAAUGCUUUACACAUGCAAGUCGAACGGCAGCACGGGGGCAGCCCUGGUGGCGAGUGGCGAACGGGUGAGUAAUACAUCGGAACGUGCCCGGUCGUGGGGGAUAACGUAGCGAAAGUUACGCUAAUACCGCAUACGAUCUGAGGAUGAAAGCGGGGGACCUUCUGGCCUCGCGCGAUCGGAGCGGCCGAUGUCAGAUUAGGUAGUUGGUGGGGUAAAGGCCUACCAAGCCGACGAUCUGUAGCUGGUCUGAGAGGACGACCAGCCACACUGGGACUGAGACACGGCCCAGACUCCUACGGGAGGCAGCAGUGGGGAAUUUUGGACAAUGGGCGCAAGCCUGAUCCAGCCAUUCCGCGUGCAGGACGAAGGCCUUCGGGUUGUAAACUGCUUUUGUACGGAACGAAAAGGCUCUGGCUAAUACCUGGGGCUCAUGACGGUACCGUAAGAAUAAGCACCGGCUAACUACGUG
rnacentral:rRNA from 1 species